rnacentral:tmRNA from 1 species
GGGGCUGACCGGAAUCGACAGGAAAGAUGUUCUUUGAGUAAGCAUGCCGGAGCACGAUCAUUCACUCCGUUCCCUUCGGGGAUCCUUCGGGAAUAAACUGAUGAUCGACCAUCUUAAUUGGCGACUUUAACUACGCCAUGGCUGCCUAAUUCUAGGAAUUAGAACGCCUUUGUGCCGCUCUCUUGAUGCCUGAUACACAGGGAUGCCGCACAUCAACACCUUUCAGGCUGGCUGGCAAAGCCCAUUCCACUUUGUCAGUAAGACACCGGAGUUAAGGGUCGGGUAGGUUCGCUUUUGCACCAGCCUUGACCUCGAAAAUCCAAGCAGAAGAUAAGCAUGUAGAAGGCUCUUGGUUGCUUUGUCUGGACGAGGGUUCGAAUCCCUCCAGCUCCACUA